UACAGAGGUCCCGAGCGUUGUUCGGAUUCACUGGGCGUAAAGGGUGCGUAGGUGGUGAGGAAAGUCGGAUGUGAAAUCUCCGGGCUUAACCCGGAAAUGGCAUUGGAAACUACCUUGCUAGAGGUUUUGAGGGGGGACUGGAAUUCUCGAUGUAGCAGUGAAAUGCGUAGAUAUCGAGAGGAACACCGGUGGCGAAGGCGAGUCCCUGGAAAACACCUGACACUGAGGCACGAAAGCUAGGGGAGCAAACAGG
rnacentral:rRNA from 1 species